GCAAAUGUCUCUUUCUGAAACUGUUUCCAAUGCUUCCUUUUUGUUCUCUCCAAAACCUGUUUAAUCCCAUUGUUUGUCAUUGCUAUGCAUGUCCACUGUGCUAUCCCCUGCCAUACAUCUUUUAUCCAUUUACAUGUCUCAAAUAAAUGCACAUUAUUCUCCAUUACCUUCUCCUCACAAAGGCAGCAAUCAGAGUCAUCAACCUGGAUGUGCAAUUUAUGUUUAUGUUCCUGUGUGAGUAAUCUCCCUUGUAUAGCC
rnacentral:lncRNA from 1 species